CCUACGGGAGGCUGCAGUGGGGGAUAUUGCACAAUGGGGGGAACCCUGAUGCAGCGACGCCGCGUGGGUGAAGAAGCGCCUCGGCGCGUAAAGCCCUGUCAGCAGGGAAGAAAAUGACGGUACCUGAAGAAGAAGCCCCGUCUAACUACGUGCCAGCAGCCGCGGUAAUAUGGAGGGGGCAAGCGUUAUCCGGAUUUACUGGGGGUAAAGGGGGGGCAGGCGGGGUUGCAAGCCAGGAGUGAAAGCCCGGGGCCCAACCCCGGGACGGCUGUUGGAACGGCGGGGCUUGAGUGCAGGAGGGGCAGGCGGAAUUCGUGGUGUAGCGGUGAAAUGCGUAGAUAUCAGGAGGAACACCGGUGGCGAAGGCGGCCUGCUGGACUGCAACUGACGUUGAGGCCCGAAAGCGUGGGUAGCAAACAGGAUUAGAUACCCGAGUAGUC
rnacentral:rRNA from 1 species